CUGUCUUCUCAGGCGCGCAAGUGCCACGACACUUGUCUACGGGGUGUUUUCGAGAACCGGUCCCUCGAGUUGGCACACGGCCGCACGCCUCUCGCUACCGAACUGAUAACGGACGUCGUUUUACAUCGGUUUCUUCUAUUCCUUUUAUCGCGGUAACCCUUCUCAAUUCCAAGUUUUGUUACGUGUCGGUCAAAAGUUCGGAAUCGAUUCGAAUCGUCCAGUCUUUGUCUUCUUGCUUUACUUCGUGGUAAAAAUAUAAUUUCUUCAAGCAUAGGUUCAGUCUUGGAAUAUUUUUAUACAUCAAAUCUGUUAUCUGGAAAGUAAAAUUAAUUCGAUAUCCAAGCGAGAAACACAAAUUUGCAAACAUCUAUAAAUCUUAUCUAUGAUGCAUCGAUGGAGGAUAGGGGAAUAAAAUAUCUUUCGAAUCGCGAAAUUAUCGCCUACCAUAGAAGAUCCCAUACUAAUCACGGGGAAAAAAUAGGAAGAAUCUAAAAAAGGAAAGAAACCCGAGGACAGAUUUCUUCUCGACUACGUCUCGGCCAAGACGAAGCCAACGAUAAAUCCGUUCGGCAGGUGAAAAUCUCAUUGGCCGUUCGAGAGUUGCAGGGGAGAGUCCGAGUUCUGGUCCUCGACAAGAAUUAUUUCCACGAGACGCGAUGCAACACGGAUCCCACACGUGAAACGGCGUGGUUUCGAAGCAAGGGACAAGAGGAUCAAGCUUGUUUCCACCGGUACUUUUCGUGCCACCCGUUGCAUGCCUGGGUCUAUAACCCCAGACGAGGUGUCCCCAGGUAUGCCUUAUCCGAGCCGAGAUCAAGCAGUAAAUUUAUCCGCGUUGCACGCCGCGCGCGUUCUCUGCGACAGAGAACGGAAUCCUUUCGGGCAUUAUUAUUUUCAUUAGGAUUUGUGACUCAUCGCGUGCACGGGACAUUUAUUUGGCGGACUCGUUCGCAGCGACACCUAUAACCGUAGCCAUUCUCUCGCGCUCAUCUCCCACUCAUUCAAUCCAUGCGCGUUUUCCUUUUUUGCUAUUUUAAUUUAUCGUCAUGAUUGUUUGUUAUUUAUUUUUGCUGUUGAUAAGUACAAUUUUGGAUGCAAAAAUAAUCUCGGAAUGAUUUUUUAUAUAAUGAGUAAAUCUAAGGAAUUUUUCUCAUUGACGCGCGAUAUUGCUGAUCUGUCUAAACGAAAUAUAUCGUACACGGAUAUUUAGAAUUAAAAUAAUAUUAUGAAAAUAAUUAGAGAUAUAACUUUAAGAUUCUAAAAUUGUAGGGAAUUUUGAAAAAUGAGAUUUGAUAACUGAUCAAGGAAAUGAAAAGAUUCGAAAAAAAAUAGAAGAUGGGCGGAUAAUUUUUAUUGCUAUUAUUUUUAAUCAUUUUCUCGAUUCAAAAAAUGUGACACGGUGCCAAAAACAACAUUGAAAUGGCGAAAAGACGUGCCAUGCGAUUUUAUGGCAUCAGCGUGGUCUCGCCGUUUUAAACGGCGCUGAGAUAAUGAUCGAAGGCGCGGCACGUUUUAUUAAUCGACUAGUUCGUAAAUAAGGUUUACUUUGAAAUUCCGUAGCAAGGUUCUCCCACCCUAAUCGCGCCAAGAUCGAUUCGUUUGGAUUUUAGAAACGAAAAAGACCAGAAACAAUUUCACGAUGGGAUCGUGAGAAGAUUCUAUCUUCCAAAAGAAACAACGUUCCUGUUCUUAAGGUUAUCUCCUAACCUAUAGAAUUCUUUAAUAAUUCAACCAAUUUCGACGUUAAAAAUGUUGAACCCUGCAUAUUAAUCAAAUGACAAACGUAAAAAAAAAACAUGAAAAAUACCAAUAUAUAAAAGAAAAAAUCAAUGGAUAAGAAAAAAAAGAAAAUUUGAUAUAUAAAUGUCUAUAUGCCGCGAUACUAUCAAAUAAUUCGUAUUACGCAUGCGCACUAUUUCUAUCGAAAAAGAUCACCGUGUCAUGGCGGGGUGAAUUUAUUAAAGAAAAACGUGAUUACCAUGUACCGCGCGCCACGAACCCUGACCCCACUCGUUUGCGAGGGGGCGAUAUCGUGUGGUGGCUCGAAUAAAGUGUGCGACAACGCAGGGGCGACAGAGUCGAUAUAAUCCGAUUUUACGAGGCGGCCCACGAGAGAAAAAGAUUCAACCGGCUGAACAGAGAAAGUCCACGAAGAAGGUGCGACAAAGAGGGCGAGAAAGUAGGGAGAUCCUAUCUCGACCCCGUGCUGCUCUCUCCCGAGCGAUAUAAACUUAGACGCGAAUUAGUGGAAUCGCGCAAGCCGAUACCAUCUCAUUUCGGCCGGCUGGCGAAUAACCACCAUAGGAAAUUUAUCGGGAAAUUAAAUUACGAAUUAUGCUAAUCCAACCGAAUAGCCGCUCACCUCUCUCUUUUUCUCUCCCUUUCUUCAUCUCCGUAAGAAUGAACACGACCAGUGAAGACGACGAUGUUGUUCGAUUCGUACUGACAGAUAUGAUCGGUCCAUCGGUUCUAACCAACGAUGCGACUUUUGUUUAUAAUAUAUUUCAUACGGUUUUCGAAUUACACGCGAGAUGUCGUGCGUGACAGUGCCACCCACUCGCCAUCAUUGGCCGCCAAUUGGAAUAUCUUUUUCUCAUUGUCGACGAUAAAAGACGAUGCUUGCAUGUAAUGCAAUAAAAUGGAUUAAAACAAACAAUGGAAUAUAUCUGGUUAUUUGAAGAGUGUUAUUAAUUUCAGUGUAAGUACACCGGACGAUUCGUAGUCUACAAAAUGUCUAUGGUUUGUAGGUAUUUCGUUAUUCAUCGUACAUAACCUCGUUCGACUUCGUCGUCUCUUUCUUAUUUAAAGUUUAUUGUGCAUAAUUUUAACCAAUGACAAGAUUGUCAUACUAUUUCUUACUCGUUAAUCUGAUUGCCAACAGUGUUUUUUUAACCAUCUAUUCGAGUUUAUAAGAUAGCAAGGAAUUUUGAGGGCGUGAGAUGUAAUGCCACGUUUCCAAUGGUCGUCAGCGUGGCGUCUUGCAUGAGACACGCGUAGACAGACUGUAUAUCUUUGUCUUAAGUUGGAGAAGGAUGGGGUUAAAGAAGAAAGAGCAAAAGACACGAGAAGUGGCCAGUGGAAAGCCGACUAAAACCCGAGCCAAGAGAUCUGAGAUUUCGACUUCUAUUCUGGUCGGAGAUGCGAUCCGAUUGCGCUCGACGUCGCGUUAGAAACGCGAGACAAUAUUAUUAGACACGUUGGAAAAACGGAGAAAAAGAAAAAACAAUUUCUAACAAACUUACCGACAUUAACGACAUAGAUCAUACAACUCAAUUAACAAUGAAGCUGGAAAUUUAAUAAUAUCAGAAGGAAUAUCUUACGAUUCACAUUUUAUGUUAUUUUAUUAUUCCCAGUAAUAAAAAAACAUAUUGUUUUAAGGAAAACUAUAAAAUCUUUCUCGAGAGGAGAGCUCUUUCAAAUACAAAAGAUGAAUACUUCAGGAUUACUUUGAACACCGUCAAAAAGGCAGGAAGGCAAGCUUUUCUCCGCGGACGAAGAAGCAUUUCAUGGAUGUGAAGAGAGCAAAUUGAAAAUCGGUUGUUUCUCUCUACUCUUUAGAUCCAGUCUGCUCGGCAGGUGAGCACGUUGAGGAAGAAGCGUUGAGAGAAGAAGGGACUUCACCGGCAGCUGAUUCCAUAAGCAGAUAGGAAAGAAUUUCUUCGGCCUAAAAUAAUGGGGAUGCAGCCUACCGUGUACACACCGCCUCUGUUUACAAACUUUGGCUCGCCUCUCUUUUCCUCCACGGUCAGCUGAAACGCAUCCACCUUUUUUUUUUCUACCUGCUCUUUCUCUACCUCUUUGCAAAUAUACCAAUCGCGCAAUUUUAAAGGAAAAAUAUCCUCCAUGAAUUGUAACUUGUACUGUUUUCUUUUUAAGGAUAUAAUAAUAAUAUGUAUGAAAAAUAAUACCUAUAUACUGAUUGUGAGAAAGUUACUUUUACGAUAUUGUAUGAAACAAUACCUAUUAUCAAUAUUUUUAAACAACUUUUAAUAAUUAUUAAAUUUAAUGACAAAUAAUAUGUAAUCAGAAUUGUUGUAUCGAUAUAUUUAAAAAUUAAUUAUUUCGAUAACGUUAAUAAAUGUGAAGAAACAAGUGUAAAAGAAUAAAAGUGUAAGAAUAAAUCAAGAAUUAUCUUCCUGAUUUAAUUUAUA